rnacentral:rRNA from 1 species
CUUGCUCCCUUAGGUCAGCGGCGGACGGGUGAGUAACACGUGGGUAACCUGCCUGUAAGACUGGGAUAACUCCGGGAAACCGGGGCUAAUACCGGAUGCUUGAUUGAACCGCAUGGUUCCAUUCUUAAAAGGGGCUUUUAACCUCCCCUUUACAAAUGAACCCCCGCCCCAUUACCUAUUUGGGAAGUUACCGCUCCCCCAAGGCAACAAUCCUUACCCAACUUAAAAGGUGAACCGCCCCCCCGGGAACGAAAACCCGGCCCAAACCCCUCCGGAAGGAACCAUAAGGAAACCUCCCCCAUGGAACAAAAUUCUAACGAACCACCCCCCCUGGAUUAAUAAAGGUUUCCGAACCUAAAAAUUCUGUGGUAAGGAAAAACCAAUUCCCGUCCAAAUAGGGCGGACCCUUACCGGACCCUAACCAAAAACCCCCGGUUAAUUCCUUCCCACCACCCCCGGAAUUACUUAGGUGGCAGCCUUUGUCCGAAAUUAUGGGCCUUAAACCCCCCCCAGGCGGUUCCUUAAUCCUAAGGUAAAACCCCCCGGUUCACCCGGGAAGGGUAUUUGAAAAUUGGGAAAUUUAAUUGCAAAAAAGAAAAUUGAAAUUCCACUUGAACCGUUAAAUUGCUUAAAAAUUUGAAGAACCACCAUUGCCAAAGGCAAUCCUCUGGCCGGUACCUAACCCUAAGGCCCAAAACCUUGGGAACCAACCAGAAUAAAAUACCCUGGUAUCCCACGCCUUAAACAAUAAUUCCUAAUUGUAAAAGGGUUUCCGCCCUUUAUUGCUCCACCAAACGCAUUAAGCACUCCGCCUGGGGAGUACGGUCGCAAGACUGAAACUCAAAGGAAUUGACGGGGGCCCGCACAAGCGGUGGAGCAUGUGGUUUAAUUCGAAGCAACGCGAAGAACCUUACCAGGUCUUGACAUCCUCUGACAACCCUAGAGAUAGGGCUUCCCCUUCGGGGGCAGAAUGACAGGUGGUGCAUGGUUGUCGUCAGCUCGUGUCGUGAGAUGUUGGGUUAAGUCCCGCAACGAGCGCAACCCUUGAUCUUAGUUGCCAGCAUUCAGUUGGGCACUCUAAGGUGACUGCCGGUGACAAACCGGAGGAAAGGUGGGGAUGACGUCAAAUCAUCAUGCCCCUUUUUUUUUUGAAUUUCCCCUUUUUCCCACUUUCAAAAAA